rnacentral:rRNA from 1 species
UACAGAGGGGGCAAGCGUUGCUCGGAUUUACUGGGCUUAAAGGGCACGUAGGCGGAUGGGUACGCGAGUGGUGAAAUGCCUCGGCUCAACCGAGGAAUGGCUGCCCGACCGGGCCGGCUGGAGGAGGACAGGGGCGACUGGAACUCUGGGUGGAGCGGUGAAAUGCGUAGAUAUCCAGGGGAACGCCGAAGGUGAAGACAGGUCGCUGGGUCCUUCCUGACGCUCAGGUGCGAAAGCUAGGGGAGCGAACGGG